AUGGCUUCAGUGAGACUAGUUGCAAAAGAGAUCGGUGCCUUGAGUGUUGAUCUCAGUGACCUAAGUCAAGAAUUGACGAAGGUUGUGAGGAGUUCCUUGAGCAUUGUUCAUACAGCUGACGCUCAACUUCGCCAGCUGGCAACCUCAGCCCAACAAGGAACCGCUCAGGGGGCGGCUAACCGGAAGAAAGCAGUAGGGGAGCCAUUGGUGGCUACUACCGUGAGAGAAGUCCGUGAGUUGAUUGCGGACAUCCGGUCAGGAUUUGGAGCAGCCUUCGGCAUCGCCAACCUUUUCAGGUGGGCAUCAAAAUUUUGGUCAAAGCGCCCUACGAAUAACUCACAGUGA
rnacentral:rRNA from 1 species